rnacentral:tRNA from 1 species
GGGCCUCUAGCUCAAUGGUAGAGCAGUUGACUCUUAAUCAAUUGGUUCAGGGUUCGAGUCCCUGGGGGCCCA